GUUAAAGUAUCGAUAUUAGAUUGGGUAAUGCUCAAUUGGUAUAACAUUGUAAACGAAGGUAAUUCAUAUAUACCAAAAAGCCCGCUAGAGAAUCCCACUACCAACAGAUUGCUAGUAGGAUGAAAGGCUGCGCAUCGUAAUUUUGAGUUUUGGUUGAAAUAAUGUCGUUCCUUAAUCAACCAAAUAUGCGUCCGAGUUUUAUUUUCCUCUGCCUCUUCGUCAAUUACCUCUCCUGCUUGGAAUAGAGGCGAGUAUUUCCAAACAAAUAGGGCGCCAUCUUUGCUCACAGUAUAAAUGGUUUGUUGGUCUUUAGAAAAAAACCCCGAUACUACUGUAUUUUUAUGACCAGUAAGAGCACAGGGAUGAAAACCUUCGAUAGGGUCGACAGAAUGUAAACGAGCGGUCAGAUCCUUUGAAGUAGAUAUAAAAAAGCGAGAGUCGGCUGACCAAGAAAUUGAGACGAUGUCGUCAAAAUGGCCAGUAUAUUCACGAUGCAAUACAAAAGGAGCAAAUUCCCUUUCCUCUAAAGAAUUAGGCGUACGCCAAACUUGUAUUAAUUUUCCCAAGGAAACCGCAAAAAAUUUGCCAUUAGGAGAAAACUCAAUUGCACCAACUGGUGACUUAAAAUUAAAAUAAUGAAGCACACUUCUUCUCAAAAAAUUGCAUAGAAUGCAUCGUCCUUCUUCAUCCACUGACAAAAGAAGUGUAGAUGUAGGUGACAAAGCUAUAUGAGAUAUGUUUUUAUGAUUUUCAAAAGGAAACGUAUAAGACGUGUUAUCUUUUAGGUUGUAUACGCUUACACGAUUUCCAACAGGACUUAAAAUAGAAAAUCCAUCAGGAGUAAAGACUAGAUUACCUUUAGAAAAGAUUGUUCCUACUAAGUUCGAAAACCCAAAUUCAGUUUUCAUUUUCUAG